CGCCAAACUGUGGGAACCAAAAUUCACACCGUCGAUUUCUGUUUAAAUUAGGAAACUAGGAAAAUCCUUAUUUCUCAGAGGUCCCGGAUCUCUGCGGAGCCAACGACAAGUGACCAAAUAGAUGCGAAAAAUAUGAAAAGAUAACAAAACGAGUUUAGAAAAAAUAGAUCUUUAUUUCUAAUACGCGUAAGAGCGUUGCAAUUAC
rnacentral:lncRNA from 1 species